GCGUCGGGAAAGACGCUGGGGAGACAACUCAGGCAGCAGUGAGCCCUUUCAAGGCUUUCACUCCACGCAGAGAGAUUUGCACUGUGGUCGGGGAGAGACUGAGGUGUGCUGACGGAUGGAGGAGACGGGUGUCGGAAGGGCGUGGCCAGCAGCCGCCCUGUCUCUGGAUGACCGCAGGGUUCCAGUCUGGAGGUUCUACUGACUACCUAAACAAAUUCAAAUCAUCACGAUGGAAUCGUAACGGGAUAGCACAAUAGAGUCAACAAUGAGCUCAGCAGAGGAAUGUUUCCUGGUUUAUUCCUGAGUGCCCAUUGUUGCUUGGAAUUAAAUGACACCGCAAUCGUAGGAGAAAGCAAUUAAACCAAAUCAAGGGAGGUGAAGAAAAGAGACGUGUCUGUGGCGAUGAAGACAGGAAAUCGUGAAAGGAAUUCUCAAGUGGAGGGGCUGGCUAAGCACGUCGCCGUGUGGGGCUGGAAGACACAGGUUCCCGCCGGACGUCCCCGGAACAUUAGACACCGAGAUUGUCACUUGUGGAAAGAAUCAAAUGCUAUUUAUCUGCAUGUCAGCUGACGUAUGCCACACAUCUCUUGUCUUCUCUUGGGAGAAUGGAAUGGUGUUCUGGACCACGCAGGCCUGUCGCUGCGGAAGGAGUCGUGGAGUCGUUCAAUCACGGGCACCGGCUGAAUUUCCGAAACAAUAAAACACUUCAAAGUUCAUUAAUGCAUCUGUUUGCCUGUUUAUUUGUUUAGUUGGCAAAUGUUUAUACAUAGUACCGAUCAUACCAGGUAUGUCAGGCCCUGGGAUGGAUUUGGAGAUCUCAAAUAUGAUAAAUGCCUACAAGGAGAGAUCAUAGCAAAAGCCCUAUGUUUAGUGUUCCAAGGGCAGUUCAGUGCAAAUGUGCCUGCUCUCCACAAGCACAAACACACUUAUUUACACACCAGGAAUCUGAACUAGAC